GCCCCGUUCGUCCAGAGGUCAGGACACAAGAUUUUCAUUCUUGUAACAGGGGUUCGAUUCCCCUACGGGGUACCA
rnacentral:tRNA from 1 species